GAUGAACGCUGGCGGCGUGCCUAAUACAUGCAAGUCGAGCGAACAGACGAGGAGCUUGCUCCUCUGACGUUAGCGGCGGACGGGUGAGUAACACGUGGAUAACCUACCUAUAAGACUGGGAUAACUUCGGGAAACCGGAGCUAAUACCGGAUAAUAUAUUGAACCGCAUGGUUCAAUAGUGAAAGACGGUUUUGCUGUCACUUAUAGAUGGAUCCGCGCCGCAUUAGCUAGUUGGUAAGGUAACGGCUUACCAAGGCGACGAUGCGUAGCCGACCUGAGAGGAUGAUCAGUCACACUGGAACUGAGACACGGGCAAGACUACUACGGGAGGCAGCAGGGGGGAAUAUUGGAAAAGGGGCGAAAGCCUGAUGCAGCCAGGACGCGGGUGUGAAGAAGGUCUUCGGAUCGUAAAGAACUGUAAGUUGGGAGGAAGGGCAGUAAGGGAAUACAUUGAUGUCUGGACGGUACCAACAGAAGAAGCACCGGCUAACUGAGUG
rnacentral:rRNA from 1 species